GACGAACGCUGGCGGCGUGCCUAAUACAUGCAAGUCGAGCGAUGAAGAUUGGUGCUUGCACCAAUUUGAAGAGCAGCGAACGGGUGAGUAACGCGUGGGUAAUCUGCCUUUGAGCGGGGGACAACAUCUGGAAACGAAUGCUAAUACCGCAUAAUAACUUUAAACAUAAGUUUUAAGUUUGAAAGAUGCAUUUGCAUCACUCAAAGAUGAUCCCGCGUUGUAUUAGCUAGUUGGUUAGGUAAAGGCCCACCAAGGCGAACGUACAUAGGCGACCUGAGAGGGGUGACGGCCACAAUGGGAAUGGGACCCCGCCCAAGCUCCCUCGGGGAGCAGCAAGAGGGGAACUUCGGCAACGGGCGGAAGUCUGGCCGAAGAACGCCGGGGUGGGGGAGGAGGGUUUCGGGUCGGUAAACUCUGUUGGUAGGGAAAGACGUUGGGGAGAGUGGAAAGCUCAUCAAGUGACGGUAACUACUCAGGAAGGGACGGCUAACUACGUG
rnacentral:rRNA from 1 species